ACACGCUGGGCAGAGCCAAAAUGGGGAAGAACAUGUUGAAGAUUCCAAAACCCUUGAUUUCAUUCAAAUCCAUAUAACUUCUCGCUCCGAGCUCCGAUUGACGAUCCGUUUGCAGCCACGCGACCGCGGCGUUGAGCUCUACAAAGCCCAUAACAUUGUAAGGUAAGGAAGCCAUGCUUUCUUCCUCAAUUUUCUCAUUUCCAGUUCUGAAUUUAUUGGGCUUUGGUGUUGAGAUUUUGUAUAAUUUGGUGUUUUAGGUUUAAUUUAGCUUGCGGAGCUUAUUGAGCUCGAGUUGUUAUGCGUGUGGGCAUGGUGUAGAUUAAGUGGGUAUAUAAGCAUUGGAAUUGAAUUGGGAUUACUUGGUGGUUUGUUGAUGACCAAGGCUUGUUUUGGGACUGUUUGAUUGAGCUUGGAGUGGCUGUAAUUUCGAGUUGUGAGGCUUCCUUGGGUGAACUAAGUAAUCGGCCAAGAUGCAGGUCGAGAGGCUCCUCGCUAGGCAUCUGGAUCUUGAAGCGAAGUAGUUCUUGGGUGUAUUUUGGGUUUCUGUUUAUA